AGGAGAUCUUAGAUCAUGACUGGUUUAAAACUGAGUCUGACGAAGAAGAGCUACUCGUAUACAAAAUGAGGUAACAGACCUUUUCAAGAAGGAAACUGCAUUUUGCAGAUUACAUGCUUUUUAUUUUGUGUAGUUAGUUGUAUAGUAAGAUUGUUUUAAAUGUACAUUUUCAUCACUACAGGGCACCAUCCACACAAAAAUGAAAAGGAUGAAGCUGAAUGACUGAAGGAGAGGGGAAUGGAGUUUGGAGUUUGAAGGAGGUUGUAUUUCAGACUUCAUGAACACAGACCGCUGGCUGAACGUCUGAUGCAGAUCCUAUCUCAUCCUUGAACACAUAAAAAAAUGUUUUAAUUCUUAA